GGUCAAGUGAAGAAGCGCAUACGGUGGAUGCCUUGGCAGUCAGAGGCGAUGAAAGACGUGGUAGCCUGCGAAAAGCUUCGGGGAGUCGGCAAACAGACUUUGAUCCGGAGAUGUCUGAAUGGGGGAACCCAGCCAUCAUAAGAUGGUUAUCUUGUACUGAAUACAUAGGUGCAAGAGGCGAACCAGGGGAACUGAAACAUCUAAGUACCCUGAGGAAAAGAAAUCAACCGAGAUUCCCUUAGUAGUGGCGAGCGAACGGGGACUAGCCCUUAAGUGGCUUUGAGAUUAGCGGAACGCUCUGGAAAGUGCGGCCAUAGUGGGUGAUAGCCCUGUACGCGAAAAUCUCUUAGUCAUGAAAUCGAGUAGGACGGAGCACGAGAAACUUUGUCUGAAUAUGGGGGGACCAUCCUCCAAGGCUAAAUACUACUGACUGACCGAUAGUGAACUAGUACCGUGAGGGAAAGGCGAAAAGAACCCCGGAGAGGGGAGUGAAAUAGAUCCUGAAACCGUAUGCGUACAAGCAGUGGGAGCAGACUUGUUCUGUGACUGCGUACCUUUUGUAUAAUGGGUCAGCGACUUAUUUUCAGUGGCGAGCUUAACCGAAUAGGGGAGGCGUAGCGAAAGCGAGUCUUAAUAGGGCGUCUAGUCGCUGGGAAUAGACCCGAAACCGGGCGAUCUAUCCAUGGGCAGGUUGAAGGUUGGGUAACACUAACUGGAGGACCGAACCGACUACCGUUGAAAAGUUAGCGGAUGACCUGUGGAUCGGAGUGAAAGGCUAAUCAAGCUCGGAGAUAGCUGGUUCUCCUCGAAAGCUAUUUAGGUAGCGCCUCAUGUAUCACUGUAGGGGGUAGAGCACUGUUUCGGCUAGGGGGUCAUCCCGACUUACCAAACCGAUGCAAACUCCGAAUACCUACAAGUGCCGAGCAUGGGAGACACACGGCGGGUGCUAACGUCCGUCGUGAAAAGGGAAACAACCCAGACCGUCAGCUAAGGUCCCAAAGUUAUGGUUAAGUGGGAAACGAUGUGGGAAGGCUUAGACAGCUAGGAGGUUGGCUUAGAAGCAGCCACCCUUUAAAGAAAGCGUAAUAGCUCACUAGUCGAGUCGGCCUGCGCGGAAGAUGUAACGGGGCUCAAACCAUACACCGAAGCUACGGGUAUCAUCUUCGGAUGAUGCGGUAGAGGAGCGUUCUGUAAGCCUGUGAAGGUGAGUUGAGAAGCUUGCUGGAGGUAUCAGAAGUGCGAAUGCUGACAUGAGUAACGACAAUGGGUGUGAAAAACACCCACGCCGAAAGACCAAGGUUUCCUGCGCAACGUUAAUCGACGCAGGGUUAGUCGGUCCCUAAGGCGAGGCUGAAAAGCGUAGUCGAUGGAAAACAGGUUAAUAUUCCUGUACUUCUGGUUAUUGCGAUGGAGGGACGGAGAAGGCUAGGCCAGCUUGGCGUUGGUUGUCCAAGUUUAAGGUGGUAGGCUGAGAUCUUAGGUAAAUCCGGGAUCUUAAGGCCGAGAGCUGAUGACGAGUUAUCUUUUAGAUGACGAAGUGGUUGAUGCCAUGCUUCCAAGAAAAGCUUCUAAGCUUCAGGUAACCAGGAACCGUACCCCAAACCGACACAGGUGGUUGGGUAGAGAAUACCAAGGCGCUUGAGAGAACUCGGGUGAAGGAACUAGGCAAAAUGGCACCGUAACUUCGGGAGAAGGUGCGCCGGUGAGGGUGAAGGACUUGCUCCGUAAGCUCAUGCCGGUCGAAGAUACCAGGCCGCUGCGACUGUUUAUUAAAAACACAGCACUCUGCAAACACGAAAGUGGACGUAUAGGGUGUGACGCCUGCCCGGUGCCGGAAGGUUAAUUGAUGGGGUUAGCUAACGCGAAGCUCUUGAUCGAAGCCCCGGUAAACGGCGGCCGUAACUAUAACGGUCCUAAGGUAGCGAAAUUCCUUGUCGGGUAAGUUCCGACCUGCACGAAUGGCGUAACGAUGGCGGCGCUGUCUCCACCCGAGACUCAGUGAAAUUGAAAUCGCUGUGAAGAUGCAGUGUAUCCGCGGCUAGACGGAAAGACCCCGUGAACCUUUACUAUAGCUUUGCACUGGACUUUGAAUUUGCUUGUGUAGGAUAGGUGGGAGGCUUUGAAGCGUGGACGCCAGUCUGCGUGGAGCCAACCUUGAAAUACCACCCUGGCAACUUUGAGGUUCUAACUCAGGUCCGUUAUCCGGAUCGAGGACAGUGUAUGGUGGGUAGUUUGACUGGGGCGGUCUCCUCCUAAAGAGUAACGGAGGAGUACGAAGGUGCGCUCAGACCGGUCGGAAAUCGGUCGUAGAGUAUAAAGGCAAAAGCGCGCUUGACUGCGAGACAGACACGUCGAGCAGGUACGAAAGUAGGUCUUAGUGAUCCGGUGGUUCUGUAUGGAAGGGCCAUCGCUCAACGGAUAAAAGGUACUCCGGGGAUAACAGGCUGAUACCGCCCAAGAGUUCAUAUCGACGGCGGUGUUUGGCACCUCGAUGUCGGCUCAUCACAUCCUGGGGCUGAAGCCGGUCCCAAGGGUAUGGCUGUUCGCCAUUUAAAGUGGUACGCGAGCUGGGUUUAGAACGUCGUGAGACAGUUCGGUCCCUAUCUGCCGUGGACGUUUGAGAUUUGAGAGGGGCUGCUCCUAGUACGAGAGGACCGGAGUGGACGAACCUCUGGUGUUCCGGUUGUCACGCCAGUGGCAUUGCCGGGUAGCUAUGUUCGGAAAAGAUAACCGCUGAAAGCAUCUAAGCGGGAAACUUGCCUCAAGAUGAGAUCUCACUGGAACCUUGAGUUCCCUGAAGGGCCGUCGAAGACUACGACGUUGAUAGGUUGGGUGUGUAAGCGCUGUGAGGCGUUGAGCUAACCAAUACUAAUUGCCCGUGAGGC
rnacentral:rRNA from 1 species